rnacentral:rRNA from 1 species
CAGGCCUAACACAUGCAAGUCGAACGCCCGAGCAAUCGGGAGUGGCAGACGGGUGAGUAACACGUGGGAACAUACCCUUCGGUUCGGAACAACGCCGGGAAACUGGCGCUAAUACCGGAUACGCCCUUUGGGGGAAAGGCUUGUACGCCGAAGGAGUGGCCCGCGUUCGAUUAGCUUGAUGGCGGGGUAACGGCCCACCAUGGCGACGAUCGAUAGCUGGUCUGAGAGGAUGGCCAGCCACAUUGGGACUGAGACACGGCCCAAACUCCUACGGGAGGCAGCAGGUGGGAAUAUUGGACAAUGGGCGCAAGCCUGAUCCAGCCAUGCCGCGUGAGUGAUGACGGCCUUAGGGUUGUAAAGCUCUUUCGCACGCGACGAUAAUGACGGUAGCGUGAGAAGAAGCCCCGGCUAACUUCGUGCCAGCAGCCGCGGUAAU